rnacentral:rRNA from 1 species
CUACGUGCCAGCAGCCGCGGUAAUACGUAGGUGGCAAGCGUUGUCCGGAUUUAUUGGGCGUAAAGCGAGCGCAGGCGGUCAAUUAAGUCUGAUGUGAAAGCCCCCGGCUCAACCGGGGAGGGUCAUUGGAAACUGGKKGACUUGAGUGCAGAAGAGGAGAGUGGAAUUCCAUGUGUAGCGGUGAAAUGCGUAGAUAUAUGGAGGAACACCAGUGGCGAAGGCGACUCUCUGGUCUGUAACUGACGCUGAGGCUCGAAAGCGUGGGUAGCAAACAGGAUUAGAUACCCUGGUAGUCCACGCCGUAAACGAUGAGUGCUAAGUGUUGGAGGGUUUCCGGGAUUCAGUGCCGCAGCUAACGCAUUAAGCACUCCGCCUGGGGAGUACGACCGCAAGGUUGAAACUCAAAGGAAUUGACGGGGGCCCGCACAAGCGGAGGAACAUGUGGUUUAAUUCGAUGAUACGCGAGGAACCUUACCCGGGCUUGAACUAACGGUGACGAAUCUAGAGAUAG